rnacentral:rRNA from 1 species
UACGUAGGGUGCGAGCGUUGUCCGGAAUUACUGGGCGUAAAGCGUGCGUAGGCGGUCCCGCAAGUCCGCUGUGAAAGCCCCGAGCUUAACUUGGGAACUGCAGUGGAAACUAUGGGACUUGAAUCCGGCAGAGGGGGGUGGAAUGCCACGUGUAGCAGUGAAAUGCGUAGAGAUGUGGCGGAACACCGAUGGCGAAGGCAGCCCCCUGGGCUGAGAUUGACGCUCAGGCACGAAAGCGUGGGGAGCAAACAGG